CCCUGGCAACGUGCUAGACUUGAAUUUGAUUGGCCAGGUUGCCAGGUUCAUUGUGAGAGCCAGGGGCCCAUUUUUGAGCGCUAGACCUGCACACAGCUUACCACAGCUAUACAGACAAGCUUGGUCAGGAAAACCUGACUGAGCAGAGCUUCUGCACCCCCUUUGUCUGCCAGAGGGACCCUUCCAGCACCUGCUGUGUGGAUGUCUUUGCAUUGCUGUUGAAAAGAUGCAAGAGCUCAUCUGUAUCGUUGAAAUGUCUGUCAGAAAAUGUGCUUAGCAUUGUCCAUCUUCAUUGUCUAAUACUUCAGUAAUCCCCCAAAAUGGAAGUGGUAGGACUCCUGACCCUCGAGAGGACUGCUUGUGCUCAGAUUUGUGUGCAAGGAAGGUUCUUCUGGAAAUAUCCCUCUCUUGACCAGGAGUCACUUGGGAGAAGACUUGGUGAUGAGCAGGGAGAUAAAAGGACGCAGUGAUGAAUAAAACAGAGGGGAAAAUGAAAAUGCAACGCAAAGCCCCCUGGUUCUACAUACAAGCCAAGGUACAUCUGCCAAUAAAAGCAGGGAAAUGGGGAACAAAGGAUGUCAUAGCAACCUCAACGAACCCUGUUGUGCUACCGACUGCAGCGUCCCGGACAUCCACCAGGAAGCCUCCAGUGCCAAACCAGGUCUCUUCUUUAUUAAUAGACCAUCAUUUCUUUCUACUUUCUUGUGGUUUGAGUGGGGGAAAUACUGUGACAUUCAGAACGUAACAGGAAAGAUGAGUGUUUCACCAUCAAGACUUGGAACGCAGUGGAAAAUAAAAGAGAACUUUUGCAGGAAGCUAAUGGAGAUAUUGACAUGUGUGUCUGGAAAUCUAAACUUAGUAAAGUGUAAGGCAAGAACAGGCUUUCUCACUUUAUUUCUGUAUCUGAAAAGUUUCAGCGGCUGGUACCAUAUGAAUAUUUAUUAAUGCAUUGUGAAUCAGAACCUGUGAUUAUUACUCAAACUAUCUUUUUACCUUGCAAGCUUCAACUCAGAAGAAUAAAAACACAUCUGCUUUUGCUCUUCCCA
rnacentral:lncRNA from 13 species